GAUGAACGCUGGCGGCGUGCCUAAUACAUGCAAGUCGAGCGAACAGGCGAGGAGCUUGCUCCUCUGACGUUAGCGGCGGACGGGUGAGUAACACGUGGAUAACCUACCUAUAAGACUGGGAUAACUUCGGGAAACCAGAGCUAAUACCGGAUAAUAUAUUGAACCGCAUGGUUCAAUAGUGAAAGACGGUUUUGCUGUCACUUAUAGAUGGAUCCGCGCCGCAUUAGCUAGUUGGUAAGGUAACGGCUUACCAAGGCAACGAUGCGUAGCCGACCUGAGAGGGUGGUCGGCCACACUGGAACUGAGACACGGUCCAGACUCCUAAGGGAGGCAGCAGUAGGGAAUCUUCCGCAAUGGGCGAAAGCUUGACGGAGCAACGCCGCGUGAGUGAUGAAGGUCUUCGGAUCGUAAAACUCUGUUAUUAGGGAAGAACAAAUGUGUAAGUAACUAUGCACGUCUUGACGGUACCUAAUCAGAAAGCCACGGCUAACUACGCG
rnacentral:rRNA from 1 species